GGUAUGUGGGGAACUGUCAAGAAGUUGCAUUCUGGCAUGAGAGCAUAUCAGAAUUCUAGGAAAACAGAGGCUUCAUUGUCGAGAAGCGCACUCAUGGCAAGGAUCACAACGAAAAUUUCUUUUGAUGAAAGCACAGAUUCUGCAGAGCCUGUUAGCCGAGAAGAGGAUAAAGGUCAAGUGGUAGACAUAAAAAGACACAUGGAUCAUGGCAUUGACUGGAAAUGGAUAGUCAUAGGAGGAACAGUAGCUCUGGUGUGUGGACUUCAUUCU
rnacentral:misc_RNA from 1 species